AGAGUUUGAUGAUGGCUCAGGAUGAACGCUAGCGGCAGGCCUAACACAUGCAAGUCGAGGGGUAACGAUGUCUUCGGACAGUCGACGACCGGCGCACGGGUGAAUAUCGCGUUUGUAACCUACCUUUAACUGGAGAAUAGCCCGAAGAAAUUCGGAUUAAUACUCCAUAAUACUAUGAACUGGCAUCUUUUUAUAGUUAAAGCUCCGGCGGUUAAAGAUGGGCAUGCGUAACAUUAGUUAGUUGGUGAGGUAACGGCUCACCAAGACUACGAUGUUUAGGGGGUCUGAGAGGAUGGUCCCCCACACUGGUACUGAGACACGGACCAGACUCCUACGGGAGGCAGCAGUGAGGAAUAUUGGUCAAUGGGCGAAAGCCUGAACCAGCCAUGCCGCGUGAAGGAUGACAGCGCUAUGCGUUGUAAACUUCUUUUGUACAGGAAGAAACGCUUCUACGUGUAGAAGUUUGACGGUACUGUAUGAAUAAGCACCGGCUAACUCCGUGCCAGCAGCCGCGGUAAUACGGAGGGUGCAAGCGUUAUCCGGAUUUAUUGGGUUUAAAGGGUACGUAGGCGGAAAAUUAAGUCAGUAGUGAAAUCCUGCAGCUUAA
rnacentral:rRNA from 1 species